UGUCCAGGGAAGGGAAUCGAACCCACAGUGUUCUGUUUACCGGGCAGAUGCCAUAUCCACUAGGCUUUGGGU
rnacentral:tRNA from 1 species